AUUGAACGCUGGCGGCAGGCCUAACACAUGCAAGUCGAACGGUAGCACAGAGAGCUUGCUCUCGGGUGACGAGUGGCGGACGGGUGAGUAAUGUCUGGGAAACUGCCCGAUGGAGGAGGAUAACUACUGGAAACGGUAGCUAAUACCGCAUAACGUCGCAAGACCAAAGUGGGGGACCCUCGGGCCUUACACCAACGGCUGCGCACAGAUGGGAUUAGCUAGUAGGUGGGGUAAUGGCUCACCUAGGCGACGAUCCCUAGCUGGUCUGAGAGGAUGACCAGCCACACUGGAACUGAGACACGGUCCAGACUCCUACGGGAGGCAGCAGUGGGGAAUAUUGCACAAUGGGCGCAAGCCUGAUGCAGCCAUGCCGCGUGUAUGAAGAAGGCCUUCGGGUUGUAAAGUACUUUCAGCGGGGAGGAAGGCGGUGAAGUUAAUAGCUUCACCGAUUGACGUUACCCGCAGAAGAAGCACCGGCUAACUCCGUGCCAGCCGCCGCGGUAA
rnacentral:rRNA from 1 species